GUCUACGGCCAUGCCACCCUGAACAUACCCGAUCUUGUCUGAUCUUGGAAGCUAAGCAGGGUUAGGGUUGGUUAGUACUUAGAUGGGAGACCACCUAGGAAGACAGGGUUCUGUAAGCA
rnacentral:rRNA from 1 species